GGCCUGAUAGCACAGUUGGUUAGUGUGUCUGUCGAAGUUAUGCAUCCAUAACGCUCUCUUAACAGAUGGUCCUGGUUCGAAUCCGGGUCAGGUCG